rnacentral:rRNA from 1 species
GAACGCUGGCGGCGUGCCUAAUACAUGCAAGUCGAGCGAGCCGAACCAAUUGAUUACCUUCGGGUAUGAAGUUAGGGAAGCGAGCGGCGGAUGGGUGAGUAACACGUGGGUAACCUACCCUAUAGUCUGGGAUACCACUUGGAAACAGGUGCUAAUACCGGAUAAAAGGAGAGAUCACAUGAUUUCUUUUUGAAAGGCGGCGUAAGCUAUCGCUAAAGGAUGGACCCGCGGUGCAUUAGCUAGUUGGUAAGGUAACGGCUUACCAAGGCAACGAUGCAUAGCCGAGUUGAGAGACUGAUCGGCCACAUUGGGACUGAGACACGGCCCAAACUCCUACGGGAGGCAGCAGUAGGGAAUCUUCCACAAUGGACGCAAGUCUGAUGGAGCAACGCCGCGUGAGUGAAGAAGGUUUUCGGACCGUAAAGCUCUGUUGUUGGUGAAGAAAGAUAGUGAGAGUAACUGCUCAUUAUUUGCCGGUAAUCAACCAGAAAGUCACGGCUAACUACGUGCCAGCAGCCGCGGUAAUACGUAGGUGGCAAGCGUUGUCCGGAUUUAUUGGGCGUAAAGCGAGCGCAGGCGGAAAGAUAAGUCAGAUGUGAAAGCCCUCGGCUUAACCGAGGAAUAGCAUCGGAAACUGUCUUUCUUGAGUGCAGAAGAGGAGAGUGGAACUCCAUGUGUAGCGGUGGAAUGCGUAGAUAUAUGGAAGAACACCAGUGGCGAAACGGCUCUCUGGUCUGUAACUGACGCUGAUGCUCGAAAGCAUGGGUAGCGAACAGGAUUAGAUACCCCUGGUAGUCCAUGCUGUAAACGAUGA